GACGAACGCUGGCGGCGUGCUUAACACAUGCGAGUCGAACGGAAAGGCCCUGCUUUUGUGGGGUGCUCGAGUGGCGAACGGGUGAGUAACACGUGAGUAACCUGCCCUUGACUUUGGGAUAACUUCAGGAAACUGGGGCUAAUACCGGAUAGGAGCUCCUGCUGCAUGGUGGGGGUUGGAAAGUUUCGGCGGUUGGGGAUGGACUCGCGGCUUAUCAGCUUGUUGGUGGGGUAGUGGCUUACCAAGGCUUUGACGGGUAGCCGGCCUGAGAGGGUGACCGGCCACAUUGGGACUGAGAUACGGCCCAGACUCCUACGGGAGGCAGCAGUGGGGAAUAUUGCACAAUGGGCGGAAGCCUGAUGCAGCAACGCCGCGUGCGGGAUGACGGCCUUCGGGUUGUAAACCGCUUUCACCUGUGACGAAGCGUGAGUGACGGUAAUGGGUAAAGAAGCACCGGCUAACUACGUG
rnacentral:rRNA from 1 species